GUCCUUGUCGAUUAGUGGUUAAAUCAUCACGUUGUGGAACACCAAACCGUGAAGCCGGAGGUUCGAAUCCUCCCUGGGACA